UACAGAGGUGCCGAGCGUUAGGCGGAAUCACUGGGCUUAAAGCGUGUGUAGGCGGACUUCUAAGUACCUUGUGAAAUCCCACGGCUUACCCGUGGAACUGCUGGGUAUACUGGUCGUCUUGAGCCACCUGGGGGCCAGCGGAACAAAUGGUGGAGCGGUGAAAUGCGUAGAUAUCAUUUGGAACGCCAACGGUGAAAACAGCUGGCUGGGGGUGUGCUGACGCUGAGACACGAAAGCCAGGGGAGCGAACGGG
rnacentral:rRNA from 1 species